rnacentral:rRNA from 1 species
UACGGAGGGUGCAAGCGUUAAUCGGAAUCACUGGGCGUAAAGGGCACGCAGGCGGGCUUUUAAGUCAGAUGUGAAAUCCCCGGGCUCAACCUGGGAAUAGCAUUUCAGACUGGGAGUCUUGAGUUCUUUAGGGGGGGGUAGAAUUCCACGUGUAGCGGUGAAAUGCGUAGAGAUUUGGUGGAAUACCGAUGGCGAAGGCAGCCCCCUGGCAAUGUACUGACGCUGAUGUGCGAAAGCGUGGGUAGCAAACAGG